GAUGAACGCUGGCGGCGUGCCUAAUACAUGCAAGUCGAGCGAACAGACGAGGAGCUUGCUCCUCUGACGUUAGCGGCGGACGGGUGAGUAACACGUGGAUAACCUACCUAUAAGACUGGGAUAACUUCGGGAAACCGGAGCUAAUACCGGAUAAUAUAUUGAACCGCAUGGUUCAAUAGUGAAAGACGGUUUUGCUGUCACUUAUAGAUGGAUCCGCGCCGCAUUAGCUAGUUGGUAAGGUAACGGCUUACCAAGGCAACGAUGCGUAGCCGACCUGAAAGGGUGAUCGGCCACACUGGAACUGAGACACGGUCCAGACUCCUACGGGAGGCAGCAGUAGGGAAUCUUCCGCAAUGGGCGAAAGCCUGACGGAGCAACGCCGCGUGAGUGAUGAAGGUCUUCGGAUCGUAAAACUCUGUUAUUAGGGAAGAACAAAUGUGUAAGUAACUAUGCACGUCUUGACGGUACCUAAUCAGAAAGCCACGGCUAACUACGUG
rnacentral:rRNA from 1 species